GGACAAGCAGGCGCUUCCACAGCUCAGCUGCUGUGAACCGUGCUGCUGUAAACAUGGAUCUCUGAAGGAACAGCUGCUUUCCCAGGAUAGAGGGAGGAGGUAUGACUGGAUUCUAGAAUCAUCUUUACAAUUGCCUUCCUGAGGCAAUCAGGGCUCAAGAUCACACCACAGAGGGAGAAGCAAAUGAGAGAUCACUGGAAAACCACACUGCCCUAAGAGCCCAUUGGCUUAGCCUUUUUUUUCCAUUGGUACAGACUCCCUAGGCCUACAUUUGCUUUCAAUAAACUUCUACUAUCACAAUCUAACUUUAAUUCCUUAUUGGCAACACAAAGAACCUACCCCUAGACAAUAAAAAAAUUGUUCUUCAA